UUUGCACAGAUGUGUUUUCAAGUCUCUUGGGUAUAUAACUAAGAAGUGGAAUUGCUGGGUCAUAAAGUUUAACUGUUUUUAGCUUUUUUACAUAUAUAUUUUUGAGACAGAGUCUUGCUCUGUUGCCCAGGCUGGAGUGCAGUAGCAUGAUCUUGGCUCACUGCAACCUCCACCUCCUGAGAUGAAGCAAUUCUCGUGUCUCAGCUACCUGAGUAGCUGGGAUUACAGACGUGCAUCACCACAUCCGGCUAAUUUUAUUUCUGUAUUUUUCUUAGAGACAAGGUUUUGCCCUGUUGGCCAGGCUGGUCUCGAACUCCUGGCCUCAAGUGGUCCACCUGUAUUGGCUUCUUAAAGUGCUGGGAUUACAGGCAUGAGCCACCACACCCACCCUUGUAUUUAGCUUUUGAGGGAUUGUUAAAAGGUUUAUCAAAGUGGUUGUCACAUUUUAUACCAGCAAUAUAUGAGAGUUCCAAUUUCUCCAUCUCCCUUCCCCACUACCGCUGGCAAAAACUGUUCUACUUUCUGUCACUAUGAGUUUGGCUACUCUAGGUACAUCAUAUAAGUGGAAUCAUAUAGUAUUUGUCCCUUUGUGACUGCCUUAUUUCACUUAGCAUCAUGUCCUCAAAGUUCAUCUGUAUCGUAACAAGUGUCAGAAUUUCCUACCAUUUUAAGGUGGAAUGAUAUUCCAUUGUAUGUAUAUACCACAUUUUUAAAAUUGAUUCAUCUGUCAAUGGACAUGGGUUGGUUCUACCUUUUGGCUAUUAUAAAUGAUGCUGUUAUGAGCAAGAGUGUACAAAUAUCUGUUCAAGUCCUUGCCUUCAAUUCUUUUGGGUAUAUCAAUGAUAUUUUAGAGUUUAUAAUGUAAGUCUUACAAUUCUUAUGUUCAAUGUGUUUCUUAGUGUGUUGCUCUUUUUUAUGCUAUGGUAAAUUGAAUUAUUUUAUUAAUUUUAUUUUCAGAUUAUUCAUUGCUACUGUAUAGAAAUGCAGUGUUGCAUGUUGAUCUUGUAUUCUGCAACCUCACUGAUUUUACUUACUGAUUCUAAUAGCUUUUUAGUAGAUUUCUUAUGGUUUUCUAUACGCAAGAUCAUGUCAUCUGUAAUAUAUUGUGUAUGAUCCUUGAAGUUUUACUGUUAGUUUAGUGGUUAGCUUAUGAUUAGACAGAGGUUUCCAUAAUUACCUCAAACAAGUAAGUCUCCCUGCCUUUGCCAAGUGAGCUCUACGUGCAUGUUGGAGCACACUUUCAAUGCUUUUGCAGGCAGUUUACAACUCUACCGUGCCUUCACUCCCUGCUUGCCGGAAGCCUCAAGGUCAGACAGAGGUGACAGAUUAGGGCCAUCUUAGGUAUUACCUGGGCAUACACACAACACUGAGCAUGCAUGUCACCUUCUAGAUUUCCAGGAAUAUGUCAGAGCUUUUCAAAGCCCAAUGUGGAUAUCUUAUUUUCCAAACUUUCCUUUCUACGUUUUAAGUCAGCUGUUUAUUUGCUUCAGUUGUUAUUGCAGCCUCAGGCAGCUGUGAUACUAAACUCUUGUCACUGAUUGUUUUUGACAAAUGCAUCCAGAGAAAAGACUGUUCACAAUGAGAGAGCGCUCAGUCAGGUCAAAUAAAGACAAACCUUAUUGAGACAGCCAAAUGCCUAGGCAGAUAAAAAGGGGUCCCCAGAGAAUCUCCAACCUGCCCCACAAGUGUUUACAUCAGAUACUUUUGCACAGAGGGAACCUGCCCAGGGCUUGUCUGGGCAUGCCCAUAACUGACUGGAUCCUGAUAUGCACAUGGGGGGAAGUGGGUGGAGCCAGAGGGAAUUCACCCCUUAUGCAAGGGAGGAGCCUGCCCUCUUCAGCUUGUGUGGUGACCUGGGAAUCAAUCUGUGAGGUGGGGGGGGCCUGUUAGCAGGACUACAUUUUGCUUUGCUGAGUUUUAUUCUUUUUUUCCCUUUCACCCAAUAAAAUCCUGCUCUACUCACCCUUCAAUGUGUCCACGUGCCUAAAUUUUCCUGAUCGUGUGACAAGAUUCUGGUUUUAGCUGAACUAAGGAGCAAAAUUCUGCUACAUUUUGGCACCCAGAUGUAGGACUUGAGGAAGAGUAAGAUGCAAACCAAAAACUUUUUUCCUUUUGCUUCUAAGCCUUUUUGUCCUCGAACUUCUGAAGGUAGAGAAAACUAUGCCUCCCUCCCCCCCCAACCACUGUUGCUCCCAGGGGUUGGGAAUGUCAGCCUUUUCCUUCUUUUUCUGGAUAGACAGGCAAACUGGCAGCUCCCCUGCUCCCCUCUUAAGUUUCUCUCCCUGUUGGAAGAACCCACUUGCAUUUAAGAGUAAGAGGUUCUUCCUCCAGGUGUCUUUCCAACCCUGCACUUUAAACUUUUUCCUUUUCUCUACCCUGUCAGCAGUUAACUUUUAAGUAAGAGUUUUUUCUUUUUUCUUUUUAGAAGACAUUUUACUAGGCCAGAAAUGAUAAGGAUCAUUGUUUAUAUUCUCUGUAAAGUUUUAACUAUGAAAAAGGAUCUGUAAGGUUUGUCUUAAGCUGUAGCCAAUCUGGUGUGCUUUGCAUGACUUUCUGUAUAGUCAGCAGCAAACUUCGCUGCAGGCCUCCAUCUUGUUUUACAUCCUUGAGAGCAUGACCUGUAACCAUGUGGCAAUGUUUUGUUUAGCCCAUUUUACAAUGGCAGCUGGGUUCAAUCCUGGCUUAGGGAAUGUAUCCUUUCUGGUCUGAUGUCUGUGCAACCUUUGCUAUUUGUUGAUUCUCUUCCCCUCAUGAACCACUUUGGAUUUUCCUUUCUCUGAGCCUCUAGUAAAGUUUGAAAGCAAAUAAUAUGGCCGCUUGGUAUGUCUAAAGUCAGAUAACAAGGGAUUUAAAAGGAUUUUAGUAAAGAGCACUCAGGUUAAUUAAAAGUGGAUAUCUAAGUUAUCAGUAUAUUUAAAAGGCCUUUAUGUUUUUCUUUUCUUGGAUCUUGUUUUGCUGGAAAAAGGGUUUUUUCUCAGUCGACCGAAUUAUUUUUCUUCAUUUUGCCUUGUCACUCUCAAUGCAUGCAUGACAAGCCCCAAGAUAACUCCUGGGGGCAUGGGACUACUUGGGAAAAACAGAGAAGGCACCACUGACUCCAUUUUGGGAAGAAACUUGUUUUCCUCAUGGAACCCCAGGAAUUAAAAGUGGUUGGAUCCCUCUCAAAAUCUGUUUUUGCCCAACCUAUGCCUGUUUAUUAGGCCUUAGAAGCUGCAUGUUUUUCUAGCCCUGUCUCUUAAAGGGCUCCACCUGGAGGCCAAUAAUCCAAUUAGGAGAUUGGCAAAUGAAAAAUCUUAGGGCUGCUAAAAAUCCUUCUGCCUGUCUGUGUAGUUACAUAUGUGUGUGCAUGUGACAUCUAUAAAAAAGAGCUCUAAUUUACUUAAAGAAGGAUAAGCACUUGAAUCAAAUAUUUUGUAAAAGGGAGGAUAAAAGGUGUGGUACCUUUCAGUUUACAUGACUUUAAUCUUUGAGAAAUAAAAACAGUCUUAAAGAUUACUGGUAAAAUGCAGAUGUGAUCAAAAUGUAAAUAGGUGGACUAAAUUAUGCAGGUCAGAUACUAAGUUUGCUAAAUAUUUUAAGGUAAUAAACUGCUUUUUUGGUCUUUGAGAACUGUUUGACUUGCCUGUUUCACAACUGGUAAGCCCUGGGGACAUACGGAAUUAACCACAACCUUAAUUAUGCUGGAAGGAGUCAAAACUUGGCUGCACCUAGCACGUAAUUAAAACAUCUUAACAGGUUUUACAUUAAAGUUACAAAUUGCUAGGAGUUACCAUUAUAAUGUAAUUGAAACUACUGGAAAUAGAUUUACAUGAGAGGUGCAUAAGAACAGUAAAGUAAGUCUUUAGAAAAAGAUUAUAAGAAGGUGUGGAAAUGUAAAUUCUUGCCUAAGUUAAAGGAUUGCCUUGAAUUAGAUAAGCUAAAAGUUCAAACAAGUUGUGGAAGGACUGUAAAAAUUAAUCUUGCAAAAGAAAUUCCAUGUGGGAACAUAUUGACUAAAUUCACAAAGGUAUUAUAUGGUUUUUCUAUAAAUUGAGCAUUGAAAUAAAAGCACAACAAAGUCCUCUUAAGACACUAAUCUCUAGCAAAAUUUGUAAAGGGUUAUAAAAAGUUUUUGCUUUUUCAAAAUUUCUGAGUCAUCAUUUUGGCAAAAUAAAUAACUUACAGUAAUCUGGAAUUCUGUUUCAUAACAUCAAGUGUUUUAAACCUCUAACGUAUUUAACAGGCUCCCCAAAAUAAUCAAACUUCAGUUUCAAAAUAGUCUUUCCUGAUGCUUGGAUUUUGGAUGUGAAAAGGGCCCCCGGAGUAUCCAAAAGAGAGGUGCUCUCAAAUACAGGUUUCUAAUAACUUUGGAGAUUGUGACACUGGGAUAAAGGAAAAAUGUACAGGAGUCAUGAAGAGCUGAAAUGUUCAUGAAUAUCAAGCAAAACAAGAGUUAACUGAAUGGAGUGAACUAGUAGAAAACUGAAGUAAUCUUUUUGACUUUUGCUUGGAAUAUUGCUGGUCCUUGUUUUUUUUUGUUUGUUUUUCAGAGUCAAGGAAACUUAUUUUGAGCUAUUUAUAGCCUUUAAUAAUUGAGUAAGGUAUACUCCUGUGAACAAAAUUUGGAGCAUAUUUGUCUCUCUCUCUCUGCCUGGCUUCUCCAGAAUUUGGGAACUACUUGAGGUUCCAACAAAAAGUCACUACUAUGAUUUGGUGGUAACAUAUUCAUCGACAUGUCAUUUGACUGCCAUGGAUACUGUGGAGCAAGGACAUCUGGAGAAAAAAAGAAGCAUAGAUAAGAACAGCUCUAUCUGUAAUUAAUCUAGUUCUUACUUUUCCCUUUAUGCAACAAUUUGAAGUAUUUUUUUUAAUUUUACUUUUUUCUCUUCUUUUUUUGACACAGGGUCUCAUUCUGUCACCCAGGCUUGAGUGCAGUGGCACGAAUACAUCACUGAAGCCCUGACCUAGGCUCAAGCAAUCCUCCUGCCUCAGCCUCCUGAGUAACUGGGUUACAGGUAUGUGCCACCAUGCUUGAGUACUUUUUAAAGUUUUUGUAGAGAUGAGGUCUCACUAUGUUAACCAGGCUGGUCUCCAACUCCUGGGCUCAAGCUAUCCUGCUACCUCAGCCUCCCAAAGUGUUGGGAUUACAGGCAUAAGCUAUUGUGCCAAUUUUUUUAAGACUAGGAAAAAAAUACACAUUUAGCCAAAUUAAUAAAAAUCAAAUUUAUCAAGGAAAAGUUGAUAUUUUAGCAACUGGGGACUUUUUUAAAAAAAUCAUACUACUCUGUAAGAAACUAUUUAGUCAGUUGACAUAAUUUUUCUUUUGUAAGACAUUUGUAAUUACAAAUUUUUCCUGUAUCUAUGUAUCUAUUAUAUGCAUAUAUAAUACAUACUUAUGUAUACUAGGUUAUGUAGAUUAUUCUACAUAUUAUAAACAAGUAAUAGGUACUUUAGUAUUAUAAUAGAUUUGAAUGAUUUCUUGAUAGAGGAACUGCUAUUGUAAGUGACUCUCAUCAAAGAGAGGUUGAUUAGCAAUGUAUGCAUAUGAAAUACCUUAAAAAAGGGCCCAAGUUACAUUUAAAGUCUGUAUUUCUGAAGCAAAGGGACAGAGCACAUAAACAGGUAUAGUUCAAGACUCAAAUAAAGAAGGCAGAUUUUUAAAGGGUCAAAAGAAAGAGUUAUGGUAUUAACUAGAAAGGUAUGCCAGUUAGCCUCAAAUCUACCCUUCUCUCUGGCCCCUGAAACCAUUUCUCCUUUGCCAGCUGCCACAAUUAAGUUUUGUCAGUAGAGGGCACAGGUGGGACUCCACUAGCAAACAAGUUUCACUUCCUGGAUCAGGUGGUUUUGUCUCCUUUACUGCUGUGAUGCCUGGUUGGUGUGCAGGACAUUAAGUGGUGUUCACCACAGCAACUUUCGGUGGCGCCUCUAAAGGUGGUUUCCUAGCAGGUUUCACCAGAAUCCCAAAGGGCAGCUUCCCAGCAAGUCUCCCUGGAACCCCAGUGGGUAAUUUCCUGCUUGCCAGCUCUGGCCUCUGAUGCCUCAUCUAACUUCUCUGCCAUGGAGUGGGCCACAUUACACUGCACCCUCUCCAAUGACAGCACCAUGAUAUGAGAGUAUCGGCCUUGGGAUGGAGCUGGGGAAGACUGUUUUUAGGUCUGUCCCUUCCUUGGUCCAAAAUGUGGCAGUGACUCCCCAUAUCUGUUUUUCCUGUACUUUUAAAACAUGAGAAAUAUGAGGUGAUAUCCAAGGAUAUCACAGUUGAGUUCCCCUGGUUGUACUUUAGGUAGCUAACAAAAAUGAUGCAUACAAAGCAUUAUUAAUGACACAGGGACAGCCUUAUGAUGUAACAUUAAGCAAAAAAUGUAUAGGGGAAAAAAGGAAACAGGCUAAAAUAUUUAAAGUGACUGCCUCAGAAAGGGUAUAUUUUUUUCCUUUUUUAAAUGCCUUUUUCUACUUCCCAAAUGUUCUACCACAUCAAAACAAAAGUCACCUACAAACUAUAAAAGAUGAGGAAUAAUAUAAAACAAAUAUAUAUAAAAAUAGCACAAACCUAUGAAAAACUUGAGGAAAACUGAAGCUCAGAAUGAACUGGGUCUCACAGAAAUACUAUUUUAUAAAGUUAUAAAAGUUUAUAAAAAGCUAUUGUUAUUCAUUUUGUUAACUUGGGGGUUGUUCAGGAGUGUGUUCACUUUAUUCCGUAAACUAUCUUACUCUAUUUACAUAGCAUGUUUCACAAUUAUAAAAAAGCUAUGUUUAGAGCAAUAAUUUAAAAAGAGAGGCCAAAUGCCUGAGGAAGACAGUGUAAUAUUUACAAAUAAGAGAAAGGCAGCUUGUUCUAAUUUCAUACCUCCCUCAAGGAGAAUCUUUAGAGCAGAAUAAACCGGCAAAGAAUCUAGCUAUUACAAUGAACUGGGUCUGAGAGGCAGGCACACUGGCUCACACCUGUAAUUCCAGUACUUUGGGAGGCUGAGGCAGGUGAUUGCUUGGGGUCAGGAGUUCGAGACCAGCCUGGCCAACAGAGCGAAACCCCAUAUCCACUAAAAAUACAAAAAUUAGCCAGGCCUGGUGGCACACACCUGUAAUCCCAGCUACUCGGGAGGCUGAGGCACAAGAAUCACUUGAACCUGGGAGCCAAGAUUUCGCCAACACGCUCCAGCCUGGGUGACAUAACAAGACUGUCUCAAAUUUACAAAAAAAAAAAAAUUGUGUCGGGAAUCUCAAACUUGCUUUACCGCCAGAUAUUCCAACCUUGUCAUCUCUGGAAAACCCUGAUCUGUUUGAAAACACUCUUCGGCUUAACAUUACCUGGCAAUCUUCCUGCUGCAAGUGCAUCUCCUGGUAAAUGGCCAUUCACGCCAUUAGUGGAAGGAUUGUUCAUCUGACCCAGUAACCCACUUCUCAUCUCUAAAUCAGUUGGGUAGGGUCUCCGGGGGUCCCCUAAAACAAUAAAGACUGCAUUUAAUUCAAUCAUAUUUUAAAAAAUAAGUGUUAAUAUGUUAUUUGACAUACUCAUUUUCGCUGGUUCAUGCUGAAAAGUUCAGGCUACAUUUUCAAUUUUGAAAUACAGAAGUCAUCUGGCCAGGUGCAGUGGCUCACGCCUGUAAUCCCAGCACUUUAGGAGGACGAGGUGGGUGGAUCACCUCAAGUCAGAAGUUCAAGACCAGCCUGGCCAGCAUGGUGAAACCCCGUCUCUAC
rnacentral:lncRNA from 10 species